UCAAAGGAAUUGACGGGGACCCGCACAAGCGGUGGAUGAUGUGGAUUAAUUCGAUGCAACGCGAAAAACCUUACCUACCCUUGACAUGGAUGGAACCUCUGAGAGAUUGGAGGGUGCCCGAAAGGGAACCAUUACACAGGUGCUGCAUGGCUGUCGUCAGCUCGUGUCGUGAGAUGUUGGGUUAAGUCCCGCAACGAGCGCAACCCUUGUCAUUAGUUGCUACGCAAGAGCACUCUAAUGAGACUGCCGGUGACA
rnacentral:rRNA from 1 species